rnacentral:rRNA from 1 species
AGUGAACGCUGGCGGUAUGCCUAACACAUGCAAGUCGAACGGCAGCACAGUAAGAGCUUGCUCUUACGGUUGGCGAGUGGCGGACGGGUGAGGAAUACAUCGGAAUCUACUUUUUCGUGGGUGAUAACGUAGGGCAACUUACGCUAAUACCUCAUACGACCUACGGGUGAAAGCAGGGGAUCUUCGGACCUUUCGCGAUUGAAUGAGCCGAUGUCGGAUUAGCUAGUUGGCUGGGUAAGGUCCCACCAAGGCGACGAUCCGUAGCUGGUCUGAGAGGAUGAUCAGCCACACUGGAACUGAGACACGGUCCAGACUCCUACGGGAGGCAGCAGUGGGGAAUAUUGGACAAUGGGCGAAAGCCUGACGCAGCAAUACCGCGUGGGUGAAGAAGGCCUUCGGGUUGUAAAGCCCUGUUGUUGGGAAAGAACAGCAGCAGGUUAAUACACCGAUGUUCUGACGGUACCCAAACAAAAAGCCACGGCUAACUUCGUG